GUAGGUGGCAAGCGUUGUCCGGGAUUAUUGGGCGUAAAGCGCGCGCAGGCGGUUCUUUAAGUCUGAUGUGAAAGCCCACGGCUCAACCGUGGAGGGUCAUUGGAAACUGGAGAACUUGAGUACAGAAGAGGAAAGCGGAAUUCCACGUGUAGCGGUGAAAUGCGUAGAGAUGUGGAGGAACACCAGUGGCGAAGGCGGCUUUCUGGUCUGUAACUGACGCUGAGGCGCGAAAGCGUGGGGAGCAAACAGGAUUAGAUACCCUGGUAGUCCACGCCGUAAACGAUGAGUGCUAAGUGUUAGGGGGGUUUCCGCCCCCCUUAGUGCUGCAGCUAACGCAUUAAGCACUCCGCCUGGGAGUACGGCCGCAAGGCUG
rnacentral:rRNA from 1 species